UCCUGGCUCAGGAUGAACGCUGGCGGCGUGCCUAAUACAUGCAAGUCGAGCGGACAGACAGGAGUGCUUGCACUCCUUGAAGUCAGCGGCGGACGGGUGAGUAACACGUGGGUAACCUACCUAUAAGACUGGGAUAACUUCGGGAAACCGGAGCUAAUACCGGAUAAUAUGUUUCACCUCAUGGUGAAACAGUGAAAGACGGUUUCGGCUGUCACUUAUAGAUGGACCCGCGGCGCAUUAGCUAGUUGGUGAGGUAACGGCUCACCAAGGCGACGAUGCGUAGCCGACCUGAGAGGGUGAUCGGCCACACUGGGACUGAGACACGGCCCAGACUCCUACGGGAGGCAGCAGUAGGGAAUCUUCCGCAAUGGACGAAAGUCUGACGGAGCAACGCCGCGUGAGUGAAGAAGGUUUUCGGAUCGUAAAACUCUGUUGUAAGGGAAGAACAAGUACGUUAGUAACUGAAC
rnacentral:rRNA from 1 species